AGUCAGAGAAAACCUCUGUCCCCAAGAGCCUGGACCUCUGGUCCUCUGUGUCCUAUGAACACAGAGCCAGGAUGCAGUGUCGGGAUCUGUCAGCCACUAGCCCAUCCUGUCAGGCCUUGCCAUCACAGGUCACACAACCUAUCUGGUCAGAGCCUCAGCUUGCCCAGCUCUGCCCCU